CCGGUUGAUCCCGCCGGAGGUCACUGCUAUUGGGAUUCGACUAAGCCAUGCGAGUCGAGAGGGUUCGGCCCUCGGCAGACUGCUCAGUAACACGUGGAUAAUCUGCCCUUAGGUGGGGAAUAACCUCGGGAAACUGAGGAUAAUACCCCAUAGGUCUAGAAUGCUGGAAUGCGUCUAGGCUGAAAGUUCCGGCGCCUAAGGAUGAGUCUGCGGACUAUCAGGUUGUAGUCAGGGUAAAGACCUGACUAGCCUACGACGGAUACGGGUUGUGAGAGCAAUAGCCCGGAGAUGAUAUCUGAGACACGAUAUCAGGCCCUACGGGGCGCAGCAGGCGCGAAACCUUCACACUGUGCGAGAGCACGAUGAGGGGAUCCCAAGUGCUAGUUCGUAAGAGCUAGCUGUUUUUCUGUCUAAAAAACAGUGAGAGUAAGGGCUGGGUAAGACGGGUGCCAGCCGCCGCGGUAAUACCUGCAGCCCGAGUAGUGAUCGUUAUUAUUGGGCCUAAAACGUCCGUAGCCUGUUUGGUAAAUGCUUGGGUAAAUCGUGUGGCUUAACCAUACGAAUACCGGGUAGACUGCCAGACUUGAGACCGGGAGAGGUUGGAGGUACUCCUGGGGUAGAGGUGAAAUUCUGUAAUCCUGGGGGGACCACCAGUGGCGAAGGCGUCCAACCAGAACGGGUCUGACGGUGAGGGACGAAGCCCUGGGGCGCAAACCGGAUUAGAUACCCGGGUAGUCCAGGGUGUAAACGCUGCUUGCUUGAUGUUAGGUCGGCUUCGAGCCUGCCUAGUGUCGGAGAGAAGUUGUUAAGCAAGCUGCCUGGGAAGUACGGUCGCAAGACUGAAACUUAAAGGAAUUGGCGGGGGAGCACAGCAACGGGUGGAGCGUGCGGUUUAAUUGGAUUCAACGCCGGGAAU
rnacentral:rRNA from 1 species